rnacentral:rRNA from 1 species
GACGAACGCUGGCGGCGUGCUUAACACAUGCAAGUCGAACGGAAAGGCCCUGCUUUUGUGGGGUGCUCGAGUGGCGAACGGGUGAGUAACACGUGAGUAACCUGCCCUUAACUUUGGGAUAACUUCAGGAAACUGGGGCUAAUACCGGAUAGGAGCUCCUGCUGCAUGGUGGGGGUUGGAAAGUUUCGGCGGUUGGGGAUGGACUCGCGGCUUAUCAGCUUGUUGGUGGGGUAGUGGCUUACCAAGGCUUUGACGGGUAGCCGGCCUGAGAGGGUGACCGGCCACAUUGGGACUGAGGUACGGCCCAGACUCCUACGGGAGGCAGCAGUGGGGAAUAUUGCACAAUGGGCGGAAGCCUGAUGCAGCAACGCCGCGUGCGGGAUGACGGCCUUCGGGUUGUAAACCGCUUUCGCCUGUGACGAAGCGUGAGUGACGGUAAUGGGUAAAGAAGCACCGGCUAACUACGUG